rnacentral:rRNA from 1 species
CCUACGGGAGGCUGCAGUGGGGGAUAUUGUACAAUGGGGGGAACCCUGAUGCAGCGACGCCGCGUGGGUGAAGGAGCGUUUCGGCGCGUAAAGCCCUAUCGGCAGGGAAGAAGAUGACGGUACCUGGCCAAGAAGCCCCGGCUAACUACGUGCCAGCAGCCGCGGUAAUACGUAGGGGGCAAGCGUUAUCCGGAUUUACUGGGUGUAAAGGGAGCGUAGACGGUUACGCAAGUCUGGAGUGAAAGGCGGGGGCCCAACCCCCGGACUGCUUUGGAAACUGUAUAACUGGAGUGCAGGAGAGGUAAGUGGAAUUCCUAGUGUAGCGGUGAAAUGCGUAGAUAUUAGGAGGAACACCAGGGGCGAAGGCGGCUUACUGGACUGUAACUGACGUUGAGGCUCGAAAGCGUGGGGAGCAUACAGGAUUAGAUACCCCUGUAGUC